GACGAACGCUGGCGGCGUGCCUAAUACAUGCAAGUAGAACGCACAGUUUAUACCGUAGCUUGCUACACCAUACACUGUGAGUUGCGAACGGGUGAGUAACGCGUAGGUAACCUGCCUGGUAGCGGGGGAUAACUAUUGGAAACGAUAGCUAAUACCGCAUAAUAUUAAUUAUUGCAUGAUAAUUGAUUGAAAGAUGCAAUUGCAUCACUACCAGAUGGACCUGCGUUGUAUUAGCUAGUAGGUGAGGUAACGGCUCACCUAGGCGACGAUACAUAGCCGACCUGAGAGGGUGAUCGGCCACACUGGGACUGAGACACGGCCCAGACUCCUACGGGAGGCAGCAGUAGGGAAUCUUCGGCAAUAGACGAAAGGCUGACCGAGCAACGCCGCGUGAGUGAAGAAGGUUUUCGGAUCGUAAAGCUCUGUUGUAAGAGAAGAACGGGUGUGAGAGUGGAAAGUUCACACUGUGACGGUAUCUUACCAGAAAGGGACGGCUAACUACGUG
rnacentral:rRNA from 1 species